rnacentral:rRNA from 1 species
GACGAACGCUGGCGGCGUGCCUAAUACAUGCAAGUCGAACGAAGCUGUUUUAACUGGUGCUUGCACCGACUUAAACAACUGAGUGGCGAACGGGUGAGGAACACGUGGGUAACCUGCCCCAAAGCGGGGGAUAACAUUUGGAAACAGAUGCUAAUACCGCAUAACCACAGAAACCACACGGUUUCUGUGUCAAAGAUGGUUUUGGCUAUCACUUUAGGAUGCGCCCGGGCACCAUUAGCUAGUUGGUUGGGUAAUGGCCCACCAAGGCCAUGAUGGUUAGUGGGUCUGAGAGGAUGGCCAGCCACACUGGAACUGAGAUACGGUCCAGACUCCUACGGGAGGCAGCAGUGAGGAAUCUUGCGCAAUGGGGGCAACCCUGACGCAGCAACGCCGCGUGAGUGAUGAAGGCCUUCGGGUCGUAAAGCUCUGUCAGAUGGGAAGAAAGUUCCGGGCGUGAACAAUUCCCGGGAUUGACGGUACCGUCAAAGGAAGCACCGGCUAACUCCGUGCCAGCCGCCGCGGUAA